rnacentral:rRNA from 1 species
AUUGAACGCUGGCGGCAGGCCUAACACAUGCAAGUCGAGCGGAUGAAGGGAGCUUGCUCCUGGAUUCAGCGGCGGACGGGUGAGUAAUGCCUAGGAAUCUGCCUGGUAGUGGGGGAUAACGUCCGGAAACGGGCGCUAAUACCGCAUACGUCCUGAGGGAGAAAGUGGGGGAUCUUCGGACCUCACGCUAUCAGAUGAGCCUAGGUCGGAUUAGCUAGUUGGUGGGGUAAAGGCCUACCAAGGCGACGAUCCGUAACUGGUCUGAGAGGAUGAUCAGUCACACUGGAACUGAGACACGGUCCAGACUCCUACGGGGGGCAGCAGUGGGGAAUAUUGGACAAUGGGCGAAAGCCUGAUCCAGCCAUGCCGCGUGUGUGAAGAAGGUCUUCGGAUUGUAAAGCACUUUAAGUUGGGAGGAAGGGCGGUAAGUUAAUACCUUGCUGUUUUGACGUUACCAACAGAAUAAGCACCGGCUAACUUCGUG